rnacentral:tRNA from 2 species
UAUUUUAAUAGCUUAUUUUAAAAGUAUAAUAUUGAAGAUAUUAAGAAGGCGUUGGCCUUAAAAUAU